rnacentral:misc_RNA from 1 species
CCGCCAACCGCCAUUCAGUUGUGGACGCUCCGCCAGGCAAGUUGUACGCGGUCUCAACUCAUACAAGCCGAAACAAUAAUUGCGGUUUUGUGUUUAGACGAAACAAAACUAAAGACAACGAUAGUUUUUUUACAAUGCUAGUAACUUUUGAAACUCAACUUAAUUGAUGAAUUAGAUGUUGUAGUUAACAAAACACAUCAUAAUUCGCGUUAUUUUGUAUUUUAUCUGUGAUAUUUAUUGACUGUGUAGUGUAAACGAACGAAACAUUCGAUUGUGUGGGAAUUAUAAUAAAAUGUCACGGGCUUCGGUCUUCAAAACGUUUUUCUAAAUUAGAAUCGUAAAAAUGACGAAAUACAAACUGAACAACACUAUUCGUUCUUCGCCUGAAGUCACACUGACCGCUUACAUUGCUGACGACGCUAAGAAACCUGACGAGAAGAAGUACGAGAUCGCAGUAUUGGACAGCAAUCAAAACGACAGUGCCGUGAACGAAAACAACCGCAGACUCGAGUCGAAGAUAUGUCACGUUUGUUCUCACCCGUGUGAGUUCGCGAAGCACUCCGACCGACUAGCCGCCUCGCUGGUGAAGCAAGAGUGCGACAGGUUCGGCUUGAACGAGCUCAGAGUUGAGGGCUUAGAGAAGAACGUGUGUCUGUGCGAGAGGUACAACGGAGGUUGCAAGCUGUGCCCUCGUCCGCUGAAUGCCAAUUUGAAUCUUACGCUGAACGGACGAGAGUCGUGCUUGGCAUGUCACAAGGCGACCGAUUCCUACUCUAAUACAAAUGGAUCAUAUCCGGGAAGUCUGUUCACGAAGACCCCCGUUAGCUGGAGGAGGAAGGCAGCUAGACGCGCCAGAGCAUGUUGCUCCAAGAAAAUGCUCCUCCGAAGAGUUCCUAUACUGCAGUGGUUGCCCAACUACACUUGGCGCAGCGGACUGUCUGAUACUAUUGCAGGUAUAACGGUGGGUCUCACGGUCAUACCUCAGGCUAUAGCUUAUGCUGGAGUGGCCGGCUUGCCGCCGCAGUAUGGACUCUACUCCUCAUUUAUGGCCUGCUUCGUUUACACGAUCUUCGGUUCAGUAAAGGACUCGGCUAUAGGUCCCACCGCUAUCGCCGCUAUACUGACGCGGGAAAAUCUCCACGGCCUGGGACCAGAAUUUGCUGUUCUACUGGCCUUUCUGUCUGGGUGCGUGGAGCUGGUCAUGGGAAUGUUGCAAUUAGGUUUUCUGAUUGACUUCAUCAGCGGUCCGGUCUCCGUUGGGUUCACAUCUGCCGCUGCCAUCAUCAUAGCCACUACUCAGGUUAAAGACAUCCUCGGGUUAAGUUUCCCUGGUGGCAAGUUUAUUCAGGUGUGGACGGGGAUAUACGAACACAUCGGUGAGACUCGACUCUGGGACACUGUGCUCGGUGUAACUUGUAUCGUUGUACUGCUUCUGUUGAGGAAAGUCAAGGAUAUAAGCGUGAAGGUCGAUGAGAGUUCAGGCAAGACCAGGCGUCUGCGUAAGGCCGCCUCGCAGACACUAUGGCUCGUGUCCACCACGCGGAACAUCCUGGUGGUGCUGGCCUGUGCAUCAUUGGCCUACUACUUCGACACGAGGCAGUUGCAACCUUUCGUUUUAACUGGUGAAGUGAAGGCGGGGCUACCACAGAUCUCCCCCCCACCAUUCUCCGCCACGGUCGGUAACCACACGUACACGUUUGUGGAGAUGGCGUCCACCCUCGGAUCAGCGAUAUUCGUGGUGCCACUCCUCUCUAUUUUAGAGAAUAUAGCUUUGGCUAAAGUUUUUUCGGAGGGUAAGUACGUGGACGCGACGCAAGAGAUGCUGGCUCUGGGCGUGUGCAACAUCGUGUCGGCGCUGGUGGACAGUAUGCCGGUGUCGGGGGCGCUGUCCCGCGGCGCCGUCAACCACGCCUCCGGGGUCGCCACCACCGCCUCAGGCCUCUGGGCCGGCGCGCUGGUGCUGCUCGCGCUACAGUAUUUCACGCCGUAUUUCUACUACAUUCCGAAAGCGUCAUUGGCUGCCGUCAUCAUUGCUGCUGUGGUCUUCAUGAUGGAACUGCACGUCUUCAAACCUAUAUGGAGGACGAAAAGUAAAAAUCGAUAUAAUCCCCGCGGUGGUGACGUUCGGCUCUUGUCUCAUGCUGCGACUGGAGCUUGGCAUCGUCAUAGGCAUCGGCGUUAACUUGCUGUUCCUGCUGUAUGCCUCCGCGAGACCCUCCGUGAAGGUCACGCGGGCCACCUCUGCGAGCGGCGUGGAGCACGUGGUGGCGGCGGUGGGCAGCGCGCUGUCGUUCCCGGCGGCGGAGUUCGUGCGGCGCGCGCUGCACAAGGCGGCGCCGCGCCUGCCGCUCGUGG